UAGAUAUUUGUAUGUUAAGUCAAAACAAAUGUCAAAAUUAUGAAAUGUUCUAUAAAAGAUCGAAGAUUUUUGCUGCUUCAUGGCAUCAUUUUAGCAUUGAUAAUUGCGGGUUUAAUAGUUGUUGUCCUCCUUACUAAGAAAUAGCCCAAUACCAUAAAUGGACAUAUACCUAUUACGCAGUUUUGUAAUUGUAAAAUAGUCUCCAUUUAUUGAAAUCAAAAAAGUUAAAUUUUUAGUACUUAUUGUAAUGUAAUUUAUUUAAAGACCAUAAAAUAAACUAAUGCAAGAUGAAUGUGCUACAAUUGGCGUUUUGUACCACAUAUCCAUACGAGAAUUAAGGAGUUCCUUUAUUCUUAACGACUUUUAAAUCCAUCUAGAUGCACUGAUUUCAAUCAAGCAGAUGUAGAUUUGAAUGCAACUGCUUUAAAAUAAUUAAAUAUACAUAACGAAUAGCUUACCGACCACAAAUGCAAACAAGUUUUUAAUCUCCGAGUCGUGGCCGCAAAUGCUACUAAAAUAUGAAGGGUCGCAAAUGUUCCCGUUGCAUCCGCCCUGAAACCGAAAUAAAUUGCGUUUUCUCCUGUGCCAACAAAAAUUUGUAUUCCGUUUCGUUAUUAUUUUUGUUUUGCAAUAAAGGCAUUAAUUAAUAUUUACUUUUUUUGAACUGUCCGAGUUUUACAGUAGGUGCAGAGGGUAAUAAAUUGGCAAUUUCAAUCAAUCAAAUAACUCAUUGGUUUCUAAUCAUAUCGCACAUUAAAAGAUAUAAAAUCGAUCGUAAAACAAUUCUCUCUGCGAUGUAUAACUGACAAUUAAUUGAACGUAAACAGUGGGAUACCAACAUUCAAAAGGUAUAACCGUCGUAACCUACCCUUCUCUUAACAGUAUGUUUGUGUGUCAGUUGACGAACUUUAAACUUAAUUUUUUUCUUUUUGUCAUAUAUUCUGUUAAUAUAAAGAUUUAUAUUUGAUU